rnacentral:rRNA from 1 species
UACGUAGGGGGCGAGCGUUGUCCGGAAUUAUUGGGCGUAAAGAGCGUGUAGGCGGUUCGGUAAGUCCGCCGUGAAAAUCCGAGGCUCAACCUCGGGCUUGCGGUGGAUACUGUCGGGCUAGAGGAUGGUAGAGGGGAGUGGAAUUCCCGGUGUAGCGGUGAAAUGCGCAGAUAUCGGGAGGAACACCAGUAGCGAAGGCGGCUCCCUGGGCCAUUCCUGACGCUGAGACGCGAAAGCUAGGGGAGCGAACAGG